rnacentral:lncRNA from 1 species
AAGCUGUAAAAUUUAGGUAGUACAUGGUAUUGAAUGAGUUGUACUUUUUGUUGGUCAUUGAGUUUGUUGAGAGUACCAGCUGGGAGAUUGGUAAAUGCAUUGUCUGAUGGUGCAAAAACAGUCAUACCUUGGUUUGAAUUGUUGACUUGGUUGUUGAUUUGCAUUCCCACUUGUGUUUCGUUAAGAAAUUUAAUGAAUGUGUUGUAUUGUCCUGCUUUUUUGAGAAUCCCAAAAAUGUCUAUUGGUCCUGUAGGUGCUGGAGCUGGAGCUGUUGGAGAUUUACUUGUGUUUCGUUAAGGAAUUUAAUGAAUGUGUUGUAUUGUCCUGCUUUUUUGAGAAUCCCAAAAAUGUCUAUUGGUCCUGUAGGUGCUGGAGCUGGAGCUGUUGGAGAUUGAGCUUGAAUUUGUGGAAAAAGAAUAAAGAAAAGUGGGAUUAAAGAUAGAAGAAUGUGAUGAAGAGUUUUUUGAGCCAUGGUUGGAGAAGUGUGAGAGAAGAUGGGAAAUGG